GGAAUCCUGCUUGAAUCUGGGUGGCCCACCAUCCAAGGCUAAAUACACGACAGCUACCGAUAGCGCAUAGUACCGUGAGGGAAAGGUGAAAAGAACCCCUGGAGGGGAGUGAAAUAGAAUCUGAAACCGUAGACUUACAAACGGUCAGAGCCCGACCAUUAAAUCACUUUAAGGAAUGUGUAAUGGAAUAUGUGUAUGUUCUUUUAACAGAAGAUUGGAAGAAUAAGUAUUACAUAGGAGAUAUGUGAAGAAUAGGAUUGAUAAGAGUUUAGAGUGAUUUAGUGGUCGGGUGAUGGCGUGCCUUUUGUAGAAUGAGCCUGCGAGUUAAUGUAUAUUGCGAGGUUAAGAAAUAGAAGUUUCGGAGCCGUAGGGAAACCGAGUCUUAAUAGGGCGCAAGAUGUAGUAUGCAUUAGACCCGAAGCCGAGUGAUCUAUCCAUGGUCAGGUUGAAGCUCUGGUAACACAGAGUGGAGGACCGAACCCUAGUCUGUUUAAAAAGGCAGGGAUGAACUGUGGAUCGGAGUGAAAGGCUAAUCAAACUCGGAGAUAGCUGGUUCUCCCCGAAAUAGCUUUAGGGCUAGCCUCAUACGUAUUAUAACGGAGGUAGAGCACUGAAUGGGUACGGGCCCUUCACCGGGUACCAAACUCAACCAAACUCCGAAUGCCGUUAUAUAAUUGUAUGGGAGUCAGACUACGGGUAAUAAUAUUCGUGGUCGAAAGGGAAACAGCCCAGACCGACGGCUAAGGUCUCAAAUCUAUGCCAAGUGGAAAAGGAAGUGUAAUUGCAAAGACAGCCAGGAGGUUGGCUUAGAAGCAGCCACACCUUGAAAGAGUGCGUAACAGCUCACUGGUCGAGUAGUCAUGCGCCGAUAAUGUAACGGGGCUAAGCAUAGAACCGAAGCCACGGCUUAUACAUUUAAAUGUAUAGGGGUAGGGGAGCAUUCUGGAAAUUGAAGAAGGUAUACUGACAAGGUGUACUGGAGAUAACAGAAGAGAGGAUGCAGGCAUGAGUAACGAAAAGAGAGGUGAGAUCCCUCUCCGCCGAAAGCCUAAGGUUUCCAGGGUUAAGGUAAUCUUCCCAAGGGUUAGUCGGCCCCUAAGGCGAGGCUGAAAAGCGUAGUCGAUGGGAAACUGGUUAAUAUUCCAGUACCUCUGUUACUUUCGAUGGGAUGACGCAUAAGGUGAAGUCCGGCCGGGCGACGGUAGUCCCGGUCUAAGAGACAAGGAUAAUGAUAAGUGCAGGAAAAUCCGCACAUUGAAUCUGAGUCUUUACGGCGAGCAGAUCUAAGGAGAUGCGAAGCGGAUGUAAUCAUGGUGCCAAGAAAUAAUCUCUAAGGAUAGGGUAAUAGGGACCGUACCGCAAACCGACACAGGUAGGCGGGCUGAGAAUGCUAAGGCGUACGGGAGAACUCGCGUUAAGGAACUCGGCAAAAUACACACGUAACUUCGGGAGAAGUGUGGCCUUUUUUUGAUGUCAAAGUUAAAGAAAGGUUGCAGAGAAUAGGCCCAAUCGACUGUUUACCAAAAACACAGGUCUAUGCGAAAUUGCAAAAUGACGUAUAUGGACUGACACCUGCCCGGUGCCGGAAGGUUAAGAGGAGGGGUUAGCAAUUGCGAAGCUCUGAAUUGAAGCCCCGGUAAACGGCGGCCGUAACUAUAACGGUCCUAAGGUAGCGAAAUUCCUUGUCGGGUAAGUUCCGACCCGCACGAAUGGUGUAACG
rnacentral:rRNA from 1 species